GUUAUAUUUAAAAUAAUUAUAUAUAAACAUUUAAAUAUAUAAGUAACUUAAAAAAUAUAUUCUAAUUAUAUAAAAUAAUAUAAACAUGAAAAUUAAUAUCUGCACGGUUGUGUGGAUCCAAAUCUAGUAAAGAUUAAAAGAAAAGGACACUUUAAAUCUGCAGGUCACUGGAACGAGAAAGAUUUAACAAAAAAAUUAACAAUGAGGAGGGCUUCCUGGGGGGGGGGGGUGGCAACCUUAAACUUUUCUUGUAAUGGCAUUGUGAACAAUAUUUCAGUUUAUCAAACAUACAAGACACAUAUCAUGAUAACUUAGAUUACUAGGCUUCGCGAAUUUUUAACAUUUGUUGGACCCACCCACUAAUUUAUCCUUAUGGCUAGCAUAUUUUUGGUUAAAAUUUGCAAACUACCCUAAACUGUGCAAUCGUAAUUAAACCGAAAACACCCCUGUCCCCUCUAGUAUCCCACGUAGUCCUAGAUUAGAUUUCUUAUCCUCUCUUUCGUGAUCCUUUACAAUUUUAUUAUGUAUUUUACUUUUUUUAUAUUUUCAGAAAUAGCUUUCUCUUCUCCUUUUUUUAUCAGUACCUCUGUGUUUUUCUUAUUCUAAACAAUAUAUUAUCCGCCGCGAGCACCUCAUCUAUUCCCGUUUCUACUGAUUUUCGUCUCAUAUACCAUCCUCAAAAACCGUCAAACAGCGCUUGUCACCAAUGUCUCGCCACCGUGAAUUUGGUUAUGGCUAGUGAUGUGCCGCAAUCCACGGAUCAGUACAUGGAACAAGCUCAACAUGGAGUUCAGGACGUUCUGAACAUUUCAACCGAGAUUCAUGUUUUUUACCGUACCGGACAGACUGACUAUGUAGUGUACUGGACCGUCCCGCAUACGUCCGGAAAGGAGUUUUGGCUGGAACCAUGGCCGGAUGACCGAUCUGACCGUACUGGAGCUUGCUUUCCUGUCCAACUUCACAAGCUAAAGCUGAAGGUCAAGCCAGAAUCAACUUAGGACGAACCAAUUCCGAUUCAGACCAUAGCUUCUCUCUUUUGGCUCGUUUGGCUCGUACCGCAUGCACCAGCGACUGUGCUGAUGAUCUCACCGCCUUGUUCGAUCCGAUCAUGAACUUUUCCUUUGGAUAUUUCUGUAAGGCAAGGAUCCUUAAGCUCUCAGAAGACUUAGGCCCCGUUGGAACGCGACUUGUCCGAUCAGAACGUCCCGCGGCCCUUGCUGAUCGUCCCGCCCAUGUGCUGAUCCUUUCCGCCUUGGACACAGCCAGCUCGGAUGAAUCUGGACAGGAGCUGAACAGUCUUCUUGACUAGUCUUCUCCAGUUUCCGUGCUUUGACCAGAUCUAGUCAAAUUGACUAGUCAUCUCCAUUUUCUGUGCUUUGACCAGAUCUAGUCAAAUUUAUAUUGUCUAUGUCUUGUUUUCCUACAUUUCUAUUUAUUGUCUUUGACUACAACUAGUAUAAGUAUGUAAUCUCAUUCCAUCAAUAAGGCAAUCGAUUUUCCCCUUAAAGUUUAUGAGUUUAUCUCUUUGUUCUUUGCUUAGAAUAGUUCUUGUUUUUUGUCGAGUGAUUCUCCAAGUAAACAUAUCUUCCCUUGUUGGUCUUGACGUCACAUUCCAAACCACAAUCGAAGCUAAGGCCUUUCCGCAACCUUGUGUGUCGCCUAUCAAACCAUCAGAUCUCCCUACUUUGGCGAGUUCAUAUCCAAAAUCUAGUUGAGUGAUCCUUGUCCGAAUCUAGGACGUAUCAAAGUGGUAUCAGAGCAACUCUUCCGGUAUUGUCUAUUUCAUUCAUCUUUCUCAUCUUCCAUUUUCUUAUAAACACUUCUUCUUCUACCUUUCUUAAAUCUGAGCCCCUCAUUACCAUCCACCAUAUCAAAAAAAAAAGAAGAAAGAUCUAUAAGAAAAAAAAACAAAAAAAAAAAGAAAUCGAAAAUUUCAUUUCGGGAUUGGUGGUGGAAGAGAAUGCCUGCUGAAUGAGGAGAAAUCUAGCCUUUGAGGUGGUUAAAAUGGAUUUCAAAAAUCAAAAAUCUCUUAUCUUUCUAUCUUGAGAAAAUUUUCUUGUUUGCUUGGAUUUGUCCAUUGGGAUUCUUUGAUUUGUUCUCUUAGAACAUUGAGUAAAAACUUGUGUGUGAUCACCUAAAUCUGAGAGAAACACUUGAGUGGGUGAGAUUAAACACUUGAGAGUGUGAGGUUUUAUUUCCUAACUUUUGUGUUGAGAUUUUCAGGUUAUGAUGUUUGGUCUUCCAAGGAAAAAUAGCAAGGAGAAAUCCCCACAACAAACUAUCUCUCAAUCUUCAUUUAAAUAUUUUUUGAAUAAUUUUGAUGAGUUUGUUAGUGUGCAGGAUAGGCCAAAUAGGAGGUGCAAUGAACCUUUCAGGUCGUCCCAAGGUGAAGCUGAUCCAAAGAGGCGAUUCCUUCAGUUUGAUGUAAAAGAGAUAUGUGAGAAUUUUGAGAAGGGAAUGAUGAAAGCCCUCAAGGUCGUCAGUAAGAUCCACAUGAAGAGCACAUCCAUACGUGCACCUGUAGCUGAGCCAUCCUUGUUCAUCAGCAAGAAAGCCAAAGGUUUUUGAGGAAGAGCCACUAUACUAUCCACAUCAAGGACCACAUCUUGACACUAGAAAACCCUUGGAUGAGGAUCUAGGUCCAAUCUUUGAUAAGGAGGACGAACCUGGCCCAGUCUUUGAUGAAGAAGCAACAAGCAUCACCUCCAUCGUCAUGGAGAGCCAUCUAUGCUUUGAUCCCGGCACAACUCAUGCUCCUUUGUCUCCUGAUCUUCAAGAGCACUGUAAGCAAUCUGAUUUGCUUCAUUCUCAGCCUGAUAUGUUUGUUAAGAUCAGUUCUCUUGGUGUGAUUCAUUUUUGGUCUUGAAAAGGUGAAAGAUUUUUGUGUUUCAAAAUCUGUUUUUGAAAGCAUGAUUAAUUCUUUUAAAAUCUUUGAACCUGAUGAACUUCUUGAUCAACCACGUUUUCAAAAAGACAAUGGCAUCAAUUCUAGAAUAAUCUCGAGCUUUGAUCAGUUCUUAAAGCAUAGCAAAGGCUUUGAUCAUUUUGAAAAAUCUCUUGAGUUUGAUUUGAAACAAACUGAUUUUUGUGCUAGAAACUCUUUUGAUUCGUUUGUUUUCAAAGAAAAUGGUUUUGAUCUGAGUUCUUCUAAAAUGUACUGAUCACUGAUGAUUUGUUUGUAUCUUCUCUUGCCUUGGACGGUUUCUUGAUUAAUCAGUUGCUGGAAAAUAAAUCACUUAGAACUGAAAAUGAUUUUUGUGAUCUUGAUUUUGGUUAUUCUGUUUUGCAGCCUGAUCUUGUGUAUUCUGAAACUGAUAGAACUUGGAAUCUUCUGAGAUCAUUUCGUGAUAAUUGUGUUGUUUUGAGCCUUGAUGAUAUUGUGGUUUACAACACUUUCUUUGAAAAACAUCUUGAGUCUUUGAUAGUUGUUUCUCAAUCUGAACUUACUCUUUUGUGUUCAGAUGUUGAGAAGGAUAUGCACGUCUUGAAAAUGAAUAAUAUUAUUGCAUAUCUUGAUAAGAUUCUGGUCUGUAAUGUCUACUUUGAUGUGCAUCGUGAAAUGAUGAAAUGUGUGUUACUUGUUCUUGGAAAAGAAUUUUUUUUUUUUGAUUUGAACAAGUAUCUGUCUUGCACAUUUGAUUCUGGUCUUCUAGCUUCUGUUUUGAGUGUCCAGGAAAGACAGGUUCAGCCUCUGAGAAAUGAAAGCAUUGAUUGUGCCCAACAGCCUGAGAUUUUGAUAAGCUUUGUUGUCCAAACCGGCUACCUUAGAGAUGCCAGCGACAGGGGUUCAGUCCAAAACGGAUAUCUCAAUAUUCAGAAGGUAUUUUGUCAUGAAUCCAAUUUCUCUGGAAAGCCAACUCACAAAGGAUUCACUGAGGCUUGGAAUCACUUGAAAAUGUUCACGUAGGAAGGAGUUAUGAAUUUUCCAAACUGGAGAUUCUCCAGCCCGUCUAUCCGCGAGUACCAGACUUCUAAAAGAGAUUCAGGCCCAAGAAAGAAGCGGCCUGAGCCAAAACCGAUCCUCCAUGAACCAAAGGUGUUUCCUCAGUCAACCUCCUGUCAAAACCAAAAGCACUGUAAGGAUCAUGGGUUGAUUGCCUCUGCUCAUCAUGAAAACGUUUUGAAUCCGAGAAUUUCCAAAAGAAAACACAUCUUUACUUGGUUGAAAAACGUUUUGCUUAAACCUUUUCAUAAAUUGUUUUACUUAAGUUGUGCUUUGAAAGAGAUUUGGUGUAGAAAAAUGCAUGAACCAAAAUUACUUAGGCCAAAGAAUCAAUUUGAUUUCGUUCAUGAUGAGAAUUUUUCAGAUUUGACAUUGUCUCUUUCUUUUCCUAACCGUUUGACAGCUUGGCCUAAUUUUAAAAUUGAUAAAAAAAAAUUUGGUGAUCAGUUUACUUGCUUGAUGCUUGCCCACGUGCUUGAUGAUUAUCCUAAGAGUUUGGAUCAUGUUUUUGAUGUCUUAAGGAUAGAGAAACCCUUUGAUUAUUUCUUUAUCAGAUUUGAUGUGGUUUCUCUAGUUGUUUUGACUGAACAUGAUAAGCAUGAUCAUUUCACAAAGAGAGCAAGCAAUGAUGUACGCCAAAGGACUUGGAAUUACUUGAUGAAAACGACUUGAAAACUCUAAGGAAGUUUCUGUCCAAUCUUUUCAUUCACUGAAUUUUCCUGGAAUUUUAAUUCUUUUGUAUCUGAUUUCUUUCCUUUUGAUAUAGGUACAAUGGAUUUGAGGACAAAUCAUUUUGAAGAGGGAGGGAAUGAUGUGCCGCAGUCCACGGAUCAGUCUAUGGAACCAGCUCAGCAUGGAGUUCAGGACGUUCUGAACAUUUCAACCGAGGUUCAUGUUUUUCACCGUACCGGACAGACUGACCGUGUAGUGUACUGGACCGUCCCGUAUACGUCCGGAAAGGAGCUUUGGCUGGAACCAUGGCCGGAUGACCGAUCUGACCGUACUGGAGCUUGCCUUUCCUGUCAAACUUCACAAGCUAAGGCUGAAGGUCAAGCCAGAAUCAACUUAGGAUGAGCCAAUUCCGAUUCAGACCAUAGCUUCUCUCUUUUGGCCCGUUUGGCUCGUACCACAUGCACCAGUGACUGUGCUGAUGAUCUCGCCGCUUUGUUCGAUCCGAUCAUGGACUUUUCCUUUGGAUAUUUCUCUAAGGCAAGGAUCCUUAAGCUCUCAGAAUACUUGGGCCACGUUGGAACGCGACUUGUCCGAUCAGAACGUCCCACGGCCCUUGCUGAUCGUCCCGCCCAUGUCCUAAUCCUUUCCGCCUUGGACACAGCCAGCUCGGAUGAAUCUGGACAGGAGCCGAACAGUCUUCUUGACUAGUCUUCUCCAGUUUACGUGCUUUGACCAGAUCUAGUCAAAUUGACUAGUCAUCUCCAUUUUCCGUGCUUUGACCAGAUCUAGUCAAAUUUAUAUUUUCUAUGUCUUGUUUUCCUGCAUUUCUAUUUAUUGUCUUUGACUACAACUAGUAUAAGUAUGUAAUCUCAUUCCAUCAAUAAGGCAAUCGAUUUUCCCCUUAAAGUUUA